ACGCCCUCUAUGUUUAAUGAAUACAAGUUCUUGAUUUUAGCACUUGGAAUCAGUUGGUAUUGACAGUACUGCAUGGUGGAUAAGAAACUAACCAAUGGUUACACAGUUUCAGAAAAGUAUAUCUUAUAUAUAGAUAUGUAUAUAUAUAUAUAUAUAAGAGAGAGAGAGAGAGAUGUAUAUUCAUUUAUAGGCUAAGCUUUAAAAUAGCACAGUAAACACUUUGCACACAUGAUAUAAACCACAACAUUUCUCUGGUUUGUUAAGUUCCUCUCAGACCAAUGUUAUGGAGGGAGGUCGCCCAAAGAAGCAUGAACUCAACUAGCCGUGUUGUAGGCAAUUUUGUUGUAGUUGUUCUUUACUGUAAAGUCAGAAUACUGGAGAUUCAGAACACUUGGACCGCACAGAGAAAACAACAGGAAAAAAACAAGAGAAGUUAUAAAAACAGUCAAGUAGAGAUAUUGAAUUUGUAUAAUAGUUCACAUCAUUUCUGGGGGUUUUCUCUCUCUCUCUCUCUCUCUCUCUCUCUCACUCUGACUCUCUCACGCACCAUCUCUUUCCCUCCAUUUCUCUCUCCCCCUCCUCUCAUCCUUCAUUCCUGUACAGUUGGUGUAGUGGUGACAGUAGAAACAGCUAAAGGGCUCAUAGUGAUGGUUGGUUGAAGUUUGUACAGAAACGUUUCUUUUUGUGUAAACAGGCACACACAGAUGGACUAGACGGGGGGGGGUGUACCCCAUGGCCACGACCCCCCUAGUCACCGACAACAAAAUGUCUGUUUGUGUUGUUCAUCAGUAUUUCUUGGAUUCCUCUUUGUCUAUUGUCUAUUUUCGGAACCCUUGGUUUAUAAGUCCAGUUGAUACACCCUCCCUGCAUCCCUUUCUUAAACACAGUGGUUUUCUUCCAUCGUUCGUCCUUUGGCUUUGGGCCCGGGGUCUCAGGCCUGCUGAGAUGAAAUUAAGGCCUACUAUGGUCCUAGAAGUUCCUUCUACACCUUGGUUCUACAGUUCCAGUUCUAGAGUUCUUCUGUUCUACAGUUCCAGUUCUAGACUUCUUCUGUUUUACAGUUCCAGUUCUAGAGUUCUUCUGUUCUACAGUUCCAGUUCUAGAGUUCUUCUGUUCUACAGUUCCAGUUCUACAGUUCUUCUGUUCUACAGUUCCAGUUCUAGACUUCUUCUGUUUUACAGUUCCAGUUCUAGAGUUCUUCUGUUCUACAGUUCCAGUUCUACAGUUCUUCUGUUCUACAGUUCCAGUUCUAGAGCUCUUCUGUUCUACAGUUCCAGUUCUAGAGUUCUUCUGUUUUACAGUUCCAGUUCUAGAGCUCUUCUGUUCUACAGUUCCAGUUCUAGAGUUCUUCUGUUUUACAGUUCCAGUUCUAGAGCUCUUCUGUUUUACAGUUCCAGUUCUAGAGUUCUUCUGUUUUACAUUUGCAAGUCUAGAUUUCUUUCUCCAGCACUUUGUCCUGCUGUCUCCCGUGGCGAUGGAGAUGAAAGGUUCCAUUCUAGCUGGCCACUCCCAGAUAAUGAAGUUUCAAAACAAGCCCAUGGUCUGGUUGUCAUAGAUUUGUUUGUGUUUGGUUGUUUUCUCUCUCUCUCUUUCUCUCUCUCUUUCUCUAACGUUGCCGCCAAUGUUGGCCGGUUCUCUAUUGUGCAAAUUCACGCUGUCUCUGGUAGGUCCACUCGGAACGAGCUAGCAAAUCCUUUUGUGGGCUGCAAGGCAAGAGAAAACACACUUGUUAGACAAAUGGUGUCUAUCCCUCUCUCUUGCUCUUUUAUUCUGUACAUUUUAAAAUAAUCAUCAUGGCCAUUAGCACAAGGGUUGUGUCCCAAAUGACAACCUAUACCCUAAGUAGUGCACAACUUUUGACCAGGGCCUUAUGUGGCCACUAUAGGGACUAGGGUGCCAUUUGGGAUGCACUCCUGGUGUUUUACCUGUCCUUAUAUGGUCUGUCCAGAAAACCUCCUGGCCCUAAUUAUAAACUACAACAAGACUAUAAUAACUGGUUAUAAACUACGACCAGACUAUAAUAACUGGUUAUAAACUACAACCAGACUAUAAUAACUGGUUAUAAACUACAACCAGAAUAUAAUAACUGUUAUAAACUACAACCGGACUAUAAUAACUGGUUAUAAACUACAACCGGACUAUAAUAACUGGUUAUAAACUACAACCAGACUAUAAUAACUGUUAUAAACUACAACUAGACUAUAACAACUGGUUAUAAACUACAACCAGACUAUAAUAACUGGUUAUAAAAUACAACCGGACUAUAAUAACUGGUUAUAAACUACAACCGGACUAUAAUAACUGGUUAUAAACUACAACUAGACUAUAACAACUGGUUAUAAACUACAACCAGACUAUAAUAACUAGUUACAAACUACAACCAGACUAUAACAACUGGUUAUAAACUACAACCAGACCAUAACAACUGGUUAUAAACUACAACCAGACCAUAACAACUGGUUAUAAACUACAGGUUAUGUCAGAAUUUGGCUAAAGCAGAGACACUAUAGUUGAUGUUAAAGGGGCAAUCUGGGGUUCAAACACCAACAUUUUUUGGUAAACAGUUGAGGGAUGGUUGAACUACAGUUGAGGGAUGGUUGAACUACAGUUGAGGGAUGGUUGAACUACAGUUGAGGGAUGGUUGAACUACAGUUGAGGGAUGGUUGAACUAUAGUUGAGGGAUGGUUUAACUACAGUUGUGGGAUGGUUGAACUACAGUUGGACUAAAGUCAUGGGGCAUUUCUAAGAUACAGUCUUCAAUAAUCAAUGGCUAUAGUCCGAUAUCUUUCAUUGACACGUCCAAAAUGUGAUGUUGGUACCAAUCCCAGAUUGCUCAGAUAUGAAGCAGACAGAAGGGAAUGAAGCUGUUCUUGUAAUUAUCUAUGCUCCGUAGCACAGCACCAAAUGACAAGGCACAACACACACACACACACAUAUUUUAUGUUCAUCUAUACUUGUGGGGACCUAUAACUAUUUUCCAUUCAAAAUCCUAUUUCCCCUAACCCCUAAACCUAACCAUUAACCUUAACCCUAACCCUAACCCCUAACCCUAACCUGUAACCCUAACCCUAACCAUUAACCUUAACCCUAACCCCUAACCCUAACCUGUAACCCUAACCCCUAACCCUAACCAUUAACCUUAAAC
rnacentral:lncRNA from 1 species